rnacentral:rRNA from 1 species
ACACAAACGACUCUCGGCAACGGAUAUCUCGGCUCACGCAUCGAUGAAGAACGUAGCAAAAUGCGAUACUUGGUGUGAAUUGCAGAAUCCCGUGAACCAUCGAGUUUUUGAACGCAAGUUGCGCCCAAAGCCAUCUGGCUAAGGGCACGCCUGCCUGGGCGUCA